rnacentral:rRNA from 1 species
AGGGCGUAUGGCGGAUGCCUUGGCAUCAGGAGGCGAUGAAAGACGUGAUACACUGCGAUAAGCUUCGGGGAGCUGUGAAAUAAGCUUUGAUCCGGAGAUCUCUGAAUGGGGGAACCCAACUUCUUCGGAAGUUACUUUUAGGUGAAUUCAUAGCCUAUUAGAGCGAACGCAGGGAACUGAAACAUCUAAGUACCUGUAGGAAUAGAAAUCAAUUGAGAUACCGAAAGUAGUGGCGAGCGAAAUCGGUUAAGCCCAAACCGAGAGGAUUUAUCUUCUCGGGGUUGUGGGGCUACUCAUAACGGACCAUGAAGGCUAGUUGAACAUUCUGGAAAGGAUGACCAUAGAAAGUGAUAGUCUUGUAAGCGAAAGCUAGAGUGGCCAGAGUAGUACCCGAGUAGGGCGGGACACGUGUUAUCCUGUCUGAAUCUGGGAGGACCAUCUUCCAAGGCUAAAUACUACCUGAUGACCGAUAGUGAACAAGUACCGUGAGGGAAAGGUGAAAAGAACCCCGUUGAGGGGAGUGAAAUAGACCUGAAACCAUACGCCUACAAGCAGUCGGAGCAUUUUCGGAUGUGACGGCGUGCCUUUUGCAUAAUGAGCUAGCGAGUUAAUGAGACAAGCAAGGUUAAAAUGUUCAGCAUUGGAGCCGUAGUGAAAGCGAGCCUUAAUAGGGCGUUUAGUUUGUUUUAUUAGACCCGAAACCCAGUGAUCUAUCCAUGAGCAGGCUGAAGCUGGGGUAAAUCCUAGUGGAGGGCCGAACCCGUUGACGUUGAAAAGUCUUGGGAUGACUUGUGGAUCGGAGUGAAAGGCUAAUCAAACUGGGUGAUAGCUGGUUCUCCUCGAAAUAUAUUUAGGUAUAGCCUCGUGCGUUUCUUAACGGGGGUAGAGCACUGAUUGGGCUAGGGGUCCUACCAGAUUACCAAACCCACUCAAACUGCGAAUACCGUUACAGUUAAGCACGGGAGUCAGACUGCGGGAGAUAAGUUCCGUAGUCGAAAGGGAAAGAGCCCAGACCAUCAGCUAAGGUCCCAAAGAUUAUACUAAGUGGAAAACGUUGUGAGGAUGCGUAGACAGCCAGGAGGUUGGCUUAGAAGCAGCCAUCCUUUAAAGAUAGCGUAACAGCUCACUGGUCAAGUGUUCUUGCGCGGAAGAUUUAACGGGGCUUAAGUAUAACACCGAAGCUAUGGACUUAUGAUUUAUCAUGAGUGGUAGAGGAGCAUUGUAGCAACCUGUGAAGAUGUCUGGUGAUGGAUGUUGGAGGAACUACAAGAGCAUAUGCUAGCAUUAGUAGCGAUAAAACAAGUGAGAAACUUGUUCGCCGGAAGCCCAAGGUUUCCUGGGAAAGGGUAAUCCUCCCAGGGUUAGUCGGCACCUAAGGCGAGGCCGAAAGGCGUAGUCGAUGGACAACAGGUUAAUAUUCCUGUACUUGUCAGUGGAGUGAUGCAGGGGUGGAGAAAGGUAGCCAUGCCAGUUAUUGGAUUCUGGUUCAAGCAUGUAGGGAGAUCUUCUUGGUAAGUCCGGAAGGUCGUUAAUCCUGAGAUGUGAUGUGGUGGACUUCGGUCCUGAAGAUGGUGAUCCUAUGCUUACGAGAAAAGCUGCUAAACUUUGAAGCUGACAAACCGUACUGCAAACCGACUCAGGUGGGCAGGGAGAGAAUCCUAAGGCGUUUGAGUUAAACAUGGUUAAGGAACUCGGCAAAUUGACACUGAACCUUCGGAAUAAGGUGUGCCAGCAUUGUGUAGGGACUUGCUCCCGAAGCAUAGUCUGGUUGCAGAGAAGAGGGGGUAGCGACUGUUUAUCAAAAACAUAGCACUACGCAAAAUCGCAAGAUGAAGUAUGUGGUGUGACGCCUGCCCGGUGCUGGAAGGUUAAGAGGAGGGGUUAGUCUUCGGGCGAAGCUCCGAAUUGAAGCCCCAGUAAACGGCGGCCGUAACUAUAACGGUCCUAAGGUAGCGAAAUUCCUUGUCGGGUAAGUUCCGACCNGCACGAAUGGCGUAACGAUCUCCCCGCUGUCUCAACCGUGUGCUCAGCGAAUUUGAAAACCGCGUGCAGAUGCGCGGUACCCGCAGCAAGACGGAAAGACCCCGUGAACCUUUACUAUAGCUUGACACUGGUAUUCGGACUGAUUUGUGUAGCAUAGGUGGGAGGCUUUGAAGUGUAGACGCUAGUUUACAUGGAGCCAAUAGUGAAAUACCACCCUGAUCACUCUGGAUAUCUAACCUAGUCCCAUUAUCUGGGACGGAGACAGUGUCUGGUGGGUAGUUUGACUGGGGCGGUCGCCUCCUAAAGUGUAACGGAGGCGCGCAAAGGUUCCCUCAGGCCGGAUAGAAAUCGGUUGUAGAGUGCAAACGCAUAAGGGAGCUUGACUGCAAGACUUACAAGUCGAGCAGAUACGAAAGUAGGCGUUAGUGACCCGGUGGCUCCGCAUGGAAGGGCCAUCGCUCAACGGAUAAAAGGUACUCCGGGGAUAACAGGCUGAUCUCCUCCAAGAGUUCACAUCGACGAGGAGGUUUGGCACCUCGAUGUCGGCUCAUCACAUCCUGGGGCUGAAGCAGGUCCCAAGGGUUUGGCUGUUCGCCAAUUAAAGUGGUACGCGAGCUGGGUUCAGAACGUCGUGAGACAGUUCGGUCCCUAUCUGCUGUGGGCGUAGGAAAUUUGACAGGAUCUGACCUUAGUACGAGAGGACCGGGUUGGACACACCAAUGGUGUACCAGUUGUCACGCCAGUGGCAUGGCUGGGUAGCUACGUGUGGUAAGGAUAACCGCUGAAAGCAUCUAAGUGGGAAGCCUACCUGAAGAUAAGAUUUCCCUGGCCUUUU